rnacentral:rRNA from 1 species
CAAUAGCGUAUAUUAAAGUUGUUGCAGUUAAAAGCUCGUAGUUGGAUUUCUGGCGGGAGCGACCGGUCGGCGCUUAACGGCGUGUGCACUGGAGUUGUCUCUUGCCAUCCUUGAGGAGAACGUGUCUGGCAUUAAGUUGUCGGGCUUGGGAUCCUCAUCGUUUACUGUGAAAAAUUAGAGUGUUUAAAGCAGGCAUUUGCUGUGAAUACAUUAGCAUGGAAUAAUAAGAUAGGACUUUGGUGCUAUUUUGUUGGUUUGCGUACCAAGGUAAUGAUUAAUAGGGAUAGUUGGGGUAGUUCGUAUUCAAUUGUCAGAGGUGAAAUUCUUGGAUUUAUGGAAGACGAACAACUGCGAAAGCAUUUACCAAGGAUGUUUUCAUUAAUCAAGAACGAAAGUUAGGGGAUCGAAGAUGAUCAGAU